rnacentral:rRNA from 1 species
UACGUAGGGUGCAAGCGUUUGUCCGGAAUUAUUGGGCGUAAAGAGCUCGUAGGCGGUCUGUCACGUCGGCUGUGAAAACUCGGGGCUCAACCCCGAGCCUGCAGUCGAUACGGGCAGACUAGAGUCCGGCAGGGGAGACUGGAAUUCCUGGUGUAGCGGUGAAAUGCGCAGAUAUCAGGAGGAACACCGGUGGCGAAGACGGGGUCUCUGGGCCGGAACUGACGCUGAGGAGCGAAAGCGUGGGGAGCGAACAGG